GAUGAACGCUGGCGGCGUGCCUAAUACAUGCAAGUAGAACGCUGAAGGAGGAGCUUGCUUCUCUGGAUGAGUUGCGAACGGGUGAGUAACGCGUAGGUAACCUGCCUGGUAGCGGGGGAUAACUAUUGGAAACGAUAGCUAAUACCGCAUAAGAGCAGUUGUUGCAUGACAACUGUUUAAAAGGUGCAAUUGCACCACUACCAGAUGGACCUGCGUUGUAUUAGCUAGUUGGUGAGGUAACGGCUCACCAAGGCGACGAUACAUAGCCGACCUGAGAGGGUGAUCGGCCACACUGGGACUGAGACACGGCCCAGACUCCUACGGGAGGCAGCAGUAGGGAAUCUUCGGCAAUGGGGGCAACCCUGACCGAGCAACGCCGCGUGAGUGAAGAAGGUUUUCGGAUCGUAAAGCUCUGUUGUAAGAGAAGAACGAGUGUGAGAGUAGAAAGUUCACACUGUGACGUAUCUACCAGAAAGGACG
rnacentral:rRNA from 1 species